AUACGGAGGGUGCAAGCGUUAAUCGGAAUUACUGGGCGUAAAGCGUACGUAGGCGGUUUAUUAAGUCAGAUGUGAAAGCCCCGGGCUUAACCUGGGAACUGCAUUUGAAACUAGUAGACUAGAGUAUGGUAGAGGGGGGUAGAAUUCCUAGUGUAGCGGUGAAAUGCGUAGAUAUUAGGAGGAAUACCAGUGGCGAAGGCGGCCCCCUGGACCAAUACUGACGCUGAGGUACGAAAGCGUGGGGAGCGAACAGGAUUAGAUACCCUAGUAGUCC
rnacentral:rRNA from 1 species